rnacentral:rRNA from 1 species
GUUGCCUGUGAAACGAAUCUAAGUUCCCUCUUAAUUUUACCCCCAGGAUAUUAACCAACCCACACGUAAAAAUUAAGAGCAAUUUAAAGGAGGUACAUCUCCUUUAAAAAAGAAUACAAUCUCCACCAGAGGAUAAGCCUUAACUUCCUCCGCAUCUGUGGGCCUUCAAGCAGCCACCAGCAAAGAGUGCGUCAAAGCUCUAUAUUACGAAAAUACAACAACACAUACGACUCCCUCACCCAUAACAGGCCAACCUAUCAAAAAUAGGAGCAUUAAUGCUAGAAUAAGUAACCAAGGAACUUCCUUCUAAAGCACAAACUUACAUCACACAUUAUUAACAGAAUCACUAAUACCCCCACCACUACAAGACCAAGUAUUUAACAUGACUGUUAGACCAACUCAGGAGUGCUCAGUUAGAAAGAUUCAAACCUGUAAAAGGAACUAGGCAAGCCCAAGGCCCGACUGUUUACCAAAAACACAGCCUUCAGCGAACUAAGUAUUGAAGGUGACGCCUGCCCAGUGACACAAAGUUCAACGGCCGCGGUAUCCUAACCGUGCAAAGGUAGCGCAAUCAAUUGUCCCAUAAAUCGAGACUUGUAUGAAUGGCCAAACGAGGUCUUAACUGUCUCUUACAGGUAAUCAGUGAAAUUGAUCUUCCCGUGCAAAAGCGGGAAUAAGCCCAUAAGACGAGAAGACCCUGUGGAACUUAAAAACCAGCAGCCACUCCAAAUCAAAAUCAAAGCCAACCUGGCCCACUACUCAAGGACAUUGGCCUGCAUUUUUUCGGUUGGGGCGACCUUGGAGAAAAACAAAUCCUCCAAAAAUAAGACAACCACUCUUCACCAAGAUCAACCGCUCA